UUUGAUAAUAGAGGGACAAGGGACCAUGUGCUUUUUUCACGCAUUCGGAGAGAAAGAAGAUCGAGUAGAGAAGCAAAUAUGUAUGUCAAAAAGCAAAGCUAUGAAGUACGGAGGAAGAAGAAAAAGGAGGAUUGUAGGAGGAGGAGGGAAGUAAAGAGAAAAGAAAAGGAAGCAGAG